CUUGAGUUGAGCUAAGCAGCCCCACAAAUGCAAAGGACUGUGGAAGGAGUUGGGGUCACCUGUAAACGGAGACUGCACCUUUUGGGAGCUGUAAGAAGCCCGGGGCAGGUGUUGCUGUCUGUGCUCACGCCCUCUUGAAGCACCCAUGGAAUGUCACGGGAAUGUUCACCUCCACCUCGGCCCUGGCCACCUCGCUCAUGUCUUUGGCGUUGAGGAUGAGGAGGAAGGCGGGCUUGGGCCCCACCCCCGGGCUGAUCACGAUGCUCAGCACCACCCCUGCAAGAGAGGUUUUUAUCCUGUAUGAUGUUCUCCAGCAGCUCUGCCACUGCAGCCUGUGAGGUGGAGACCUUUUGUUCUUCAAACUCCUGAGGAGUGAUUUGUUUGCAGUAGGAAUACGUUGGCAAGAUGGCACAAAUUUCUUCUUUUUCCUGUUUGCACUGGAAGAAAAAGGGCUCUGCAUGCACUCAACUGAUUCUGUACUGCUUGACACCAACCUGAGCCUUCUCCAUGUACUUGAGGUGAUCCUGCACAGCAACCUGCAGGUAAACUGGGACUUGGAAUAUUUCC